CCUACGGGGGGCAGCAGUGAGGAAUAUUGGUCAAUGGACGAGAGUCUGAACCAGCCAAGUAGCGUGAAGGAUGACUGCCCUAUGGGUUGUAAACUUCUUUUAUAUGGGAAUAAAAUGUUCCACGUGUGGGAUUUUGUAUGUACCAUAUGAAUAAGGAUCGGCUAACUCCGUGCCAGCAGCCGCGGUAAUACGGAGGAUCCGAGCGUUAUCCGGAUUUAUUGGGUUUAAAGGGAGCGUAGGUGGAUUGUUAAGUCAGUUGUGAAAGUUUGCGGCUCAACCGUAAAAUUGCAGUUGAAACUGGCAGUCUUGAGUACAGUAGAGGUGGACGGAAUUCGUGGUGUAGCGGUGAAAUGCUUAGAUAUCACGAAGAACUCCGAUUGCGAAGGCAGUUCACUGGACUGCAACUGACACUGAGGCUCGAAAGUGUGGGUAUCAAACAGGAUUAGAUACCCCAGUAGUC
rnacentral:rRNA from 1 species